GAUGAACGCUGGCGGCGUGCCUAAUACAUGCCAGUCGAGCGAACGGACGAGAAGCUUGCUUCUCUGAUGUUAGCGGCGGACGGAUGAGUAACACGUGGAUAACCUACCUAUAAGACUGGGAUAACUUCGGGAAACCGGAGCUAAUACCGGAUAAUAUUUUGAACCGCAUGGUUCAAAAGUGAAAGACGGUCUUGCUGUCACUUAUAGAUGGAUCCGCGCUGCAUUAGCUAGUUGGUAAGGUAACGGCUUACCAAGGCAACGAUGCAUAGCCGACCUGAGAGGGUGAUCGGACACACUGGAACUGAGACACGGUCCAGACUCCUACGGGAGGCAGCAGUAGGGAAUCUUCCGCAAUGGGCGAAAGCCUGACGGAGCAACGCCGCGUGAGUGAUGAAGGUCUUCGGAUCGUAAAACUCUGUUAUUAGGGAAGAACAUAUGUGUAAGUAACUGUGCACAUCUUGACGGUACCUAAUCAGAAAGCCACGGCUAACUACGUG
rnacentral:rRNA from 1 species